GGGGGGGGGGAGACUACUACGCUUGUGUGACGAAUAAGCUGGAAACCAUAGCAACACCAGGGAACAAAGUGCCGCCAUUCUAAAGCGGAUUUCAUAGGAUGACAGCACAACUGCCCGAGCGCAAUAGGGGGAAGACAUGCUCUGUGUGAAAUUGAAGUGCAAUACCCUUCUGAGAACCAGUGCCUCAGCUUCCUGUGCAGUCGCUACUUUAGAGGGGUACACUUGGUGCAGGCUGCCUAUCCAACACCCGACUGGCCAAAGAUGUAGCUGAUGCAAAAUGGAAUUAGAACACUACCCGAUGUUGCCCUCCCUCCUGAAUCAUGAAGUAAAUGUAUUGGGUGCGUCACAGUUAAACACGGUUCCUGUGCUGGAAUAAUGGCUUUUUAAUUGUGCAUUCUGUGUAUUGUUUAAUGUUCCUGUAUGCAUGGCUGAAAAAAAGUAUGGAGAUUGGUGUAGUAUUUAAAAGUAUAUUACAUUCACCGAAAGAUUUUGUAUGAAAACUGUAAACUAUUCAGAUAUUACAUCCCAUCAUGCCUUGAUGAUUGGAGGAGGACAGCAGAAAAUUGAGCAUAUUACUGACAGAGUCUUAUGGGUUGAACCUGUUUUUGCAUAGUAAUACUGAUGAAAAGCAGUCACGGGGACCUAGUACACAGCAUGUGUUGUGUAAAACUUAUGCAUACCUUCUACAACUUCUAUGUACAUACCAAGUACUAGGGCUGUACAGAGACUGCUUGGAAGGUAUACGCUGAAAUUUAUGUUCUGUAGCCUCAUCAUCACCCUAUGUGAGAUCAUUGAAGGCACUGGUUCAGUGUUUCAGAAGCCCUCCGUCCAUGUUCUUACUGUGAAAUUAGAAACGGAAGCCUUUUCCCCCAGCAGCUUUUCAGUUGUGUCAGCAUGUGAAUUUAAAUCCACUGCGAUCAGCAAUUUCCAUGGCAGACCUGGCAAUAACCCCAACUCAACCUCACGAUAACUAGCUCUGUAUGAUGAAGUCAUUGGAAAUGCUCACAGUUACUUAUGGUGUUGCUGGUUUGUCUUCUUUAACAUAUACUGUAUAAUUAAUUAGCAAUUCACAUGUCAGUCCCAUGACCAGCCUAGUGUUUCGUAUAAACAGAAUAUGCUAAUAUGUACU